rnacentral:lncRNA from 1 species
GUGUGCUCUGCCGUUCUGUUGCUCAUUAUUCAUUCAGUUUCUCUAAAUUUUCUUUGCAACGACAAUGGCAUGCGGACCUUGUCGGCAUUUGAGGAAAAAUGGAAAGCUGUUUGGAAGGGUUGUUCGAAUUUUUGUGUCAAAAUUGAGCAUAACGACAGUGUUGAUUUCGAAAAUGUACUAGCCUGGCGAGUCAAAGGUCAAGGGCCUGCGCUUGCGCAUGGAGCAGCGCUAUGUUGUUUUGUUUGUUUGACACACUUUGUCCAGGACGUGGGUCAAGGAAGUCAUCGAACAACGGUCGCCGCCAGUGGGCUACAGGCUUCACCUCCGUUCUUCAUGGCCAGCGAAUUGUGUUCACCGGCCAUUCCGAACUUCCGGGGCGAGGAGGAGCUGUUAGAUACGAACUGCGCACCGUUGCAGCAUCCAGCUUUUCAGCGGAUAAGUGCGGCAUUCCCACAGAGGCAAGGGAGUGUGAGUCAUCCCCAGAGC